rnacentral:rRNA from 1 species
CUACGGGUCGCAGCAGUGAGGAAUAUUGCACAAUGGGGGGAACCCUGAUGCAGCAACGCCGCGUGGAGGAUGACGCAUUUCGGUGUGUAAACUCCUUUUAUAUGUCAAGAAAAUGACGGUAGCAUAUGAAUAAGCACCGGCUAACUCCGUGCCAGCAGCCGCGGUAAUAAGGAGGGUGCAAGCGUUACUCGGAAUCACUGGGCGUAAAGGACGCGUAGGCGGGUUGGAAAGUCAGGUGUGAAAUCCUACAGCUUAACUGUAGAACUGCACUUGAAACUUCUAAUCUAGAGUAUGGGAGGGGGAGAUUGAAUUAGUGGUGUAGGGGUAAAAUCCGUAGAUAUCACUAGGAAUACCUAAAGCGAAGGCGAUCUCCUGGAACAUUACUGACGCUAAGGCGUGAAAGCGUGGGGAGCAAACAGGAUAGAUACCCGCGUAGUC